AUUGAACGCUGGCGGCAGGCUUAACACAUGCAAGUCGGGCGAGCGGUGGAUGGGUGAGUAAGGUAUGGGGAUCUGCCUGAUGGAGGGGGUUACCUACUGGAAACGGUAGCUAAUCACGCAUACCAGCACUUUAACCCAUAUGGGUUGGGCUUGUAGGUGAGGUAACGGAUCACCUAGGCGACGAUCCCUAGCUGGUCUGAGAGGAUGAUCAGCCACACUGGGACUGAGACACGGCCCAGACUCCUACGGGAGGCAGCAGUGGGGAAUAUUGCACAAUGGGCGCAAGCCUGAUGCAGCCAUGCCGCGUGUAUGAAGAAGGCCUUCGGGUUGUAAAGUACUUUCAGUCGGGAGGCGUUACCGACAGAAGAAGCACCGGCUAACUCCGUGCCAGCAGCCGCGGUAAUUC
rnacentral:rRNA from 1 species